rnacentral:rRNA from 1 species
AUUGAACGCUGGCGGCAGGCUUAACACAUGCAAGUCGAGCGGAGAUGAGGUGCUUGCACCUUAUCUUAGCGGCGGACGGGUGAGUAAUGCUUAGGAAUCUGCCUAUUAGUGGGGGGCAACAUUCCGAAAGGAAUGCUAAUACCGCAUACGUCCUACGGGAGAAAGCAGGGGAUCUUCGGACCUUGCGAUAAUAGAUGAGCCUAAGGCGGUUUAGCUAGUUGGGGGGGUAAAGGCCUAUCAAGGCGACGAUCUGUAGCCGGUCGGAGAGGAUGAUCCGCCACACUGGGACGGAGACACGGCCCAGACUCCUACGGGAGGCAGCAGUGGGGAAUAUUGGACAAUGGGGGGAACCCUGAUCCAGCCAUGCCGCGUGUGUGAAGAAGGCAUUAUGGUUGUAAAGCACUUUAAGCGAGGAGGAGGCUACUGAGACUAAUACUCUUGGAUAGUGGACGUUACUCGCAGAAUAAGCACCGGCUAACUCUGUGCCAGCCGCCGCAGUAA